GCCUAGUUAGCUUAGUUGGUAGUGCGUCUGCCUUGUAAGCGCUAGGCCGCGGGUUUGAUUUCCGCCCGGGGCG
rnacentral:tRNA from 1 species